UACGGAGGGGGCGAGCGUUAUUCGGAAUUAUUGGGCGUAAAGGGCGCGUAGGCGGCCCGUAAGUCAAAGGUGAAAUCCCUCGGCUCAACUGAGGAACUGCCUUUGAAACUGUCGGGCUUGAGGCCGGGAGGGGGUAGCGGAAUUCCCAGUGUAGCGGUGAAAUGCGUAGAUACUGGGAGGAACACCAGUGGCGAAGGCGGCUACCUGGACCGGUUCUGACGCUGAUGCGCGAAAGCGUGGGUAGCAAAAGGG
rnacentral:rRNA from 1 species